rnacentral:rRNA from 2 species
GUGAGUAACACGUGGGCAACCUGCCUGUAAGACUGGGAUAACUUCGGGAAACCGAAGCUAAUACCGGAUAGGAUCUUCUCCUUCAUGGGAGAUGAUUGAAAGAUGGUUUCGGCUAUCACUUACAGAUGGGCCCGCGGUGCAUUAGCUAGUUGGUGAGGUAACGGCUCACCAAGGCAACGAUGCAUAGCCGACCUGAGAGGGUGAUCGGCCACACUGGGACUGAGACACGGCCCAGACUCCUACGGGAGGCAGCAGUAGGGAAUCUUCCGCAAUGGACGAAAGUCUGACGGAGCAACGCCGCGUGAGUGAUGAAGGCUUUCGGGUCGUAAAACUCUGUUGUUAGGGAAGAACAAGUACGAGAGUAACUGCUCGUACCUUGACGGUACCUAACCAGAAAGCCACGGCUAACUACGUGCCAGCAGCCGCGGUAAUACGUAGGUGGCAAGCGUUAUCCGGAAUUAUUGGGCGUAAAGCGCGCGCAGGCGGUUUCUUAAGUCUGAUGUGAAAGCCCACGGCUCAACCGUGGAGGGUCAUUGGAAACUGGGGAACUUGAGUGCAGAAGAGAAAAGCGGAAUUCCACGUGUAGCGGUGAAAUGCGUAGAGAUGUGGAGGAACACCAGUGGCGAAGGCGGCUUUUUGGUCUGUAACUGACGCUGAGGCGCGAAAGCGUGGGGAGCAAA